rnacentral:piRNA from 1 species
UCCAUGUGUGGACUCGGGAAGCCCUGGUU